AAAGAAGGUGGGGGGCAUGCCUAACACAUGCAAGUCGAACGAGACCUUCGGGUCUAGUGGCGCACGGGUGCGUAACGCGUGGGAACCUGCCCUUAGGUUCGGAAUAACUCCCCGAAAGGGGUGCUAAUACCGGAUAAUGUCUUCGGACCAAAGAUUUAUCGCCUUUGGAUGGGCCCGCGUUGGAUUAGCUAGUUGGUAGGGUAAAAGCCCACCAAGGCGACGAUCCAUAGCUGGUCUGAGAGGAUGAUCAGCCACACUGGGACUGAGACACGGCCCAGACUCCUACGGGAGGCAGCAGUGGGGAAUAUGAGACAAUGGGCGAAAGCCUGAUCCAGCGAUGCCGCGUAAGUGAUGAAGGCCUUAGAGUUGUAAAGCUCUUUUACCCGUGAUGAUAAUGACAGUACCGGGAGAAUAAGCACCGGCUAACUCCGUG
rnacentral:rRNA from 1 species